CUCUGCCCAUCUCUUCUUCCAACCCUAUUAAUAUGUGAAAGGGAUGUUAUUACCUCGUGGUUCCGCUGAGCACUGUGGUGCACUUAUUCUGCAUUGAAUAGAUUGCAAUUCGCAUUGUAGCUCAUUCCCCUCAGCGACAGGGUCUGAGUGUACAGUGCUGAGCUGCUUUAGUCCCUCUGUGUGGGUGAAGCCAGCAGCCGUCUCACCGCGCACCGAUAUUCCCAGCGCUAGACGCAGGGCUGCAGCCUACGGCGAGUCGCUUCUCAGUGGAUUUGGGAGACUUUCCUUCUAUCCUCCCUCUUUGAAGCGAUGGUAGCAAAAGUGAGGUUUGCAGCGCGGACAACUCUGCCUGGUGCCUGUUUAUUGUUUUGGUGUUUUUUUAAAAAACAAAAGUAAAUGAACUUAAAAGUUCCGCUCGCCGUUGACCAUCCCUGAGCAAGGAAGAUUGAAAGCAAAAAAAAAAUAAGGCAUCAGUCGGUUAAACUCUCCUGGUGGCGUGAAGUCGUACUGGAAAGAAAGUGUUCCAAUCCUCAGGCUAAUUACUGUCUUUGGCAACUGAAGUGAUCGUGAUGAGAGUAAGCAAUAAAUGCAAGUUACUGAGCUGCUGAAGAAUAGAAGCCACAGCUGAGGAAAACUUGGAAAGAUCAACAUUUCAAAUCUGGGAUCUAUUUUUAAAUCUGGACUCGCGCUUUGUGAAAAAGCAAACUGUGUCAGUCAUCUUGAAAUAACUCUGAUCAUACUUGGCCCUCUUCGCCAUCAAGGAGAAAGUGAGGACUGCAGAUGCUGGAGAUCAGAGCUGAAAAUGUGUUGCUGGAAAAGCGUAGCAGG